rnacentral:misc_RNA from 1 species
GAUGAAGAACGCAGCGAAAUGCGAUACUUGGUGUGAAUUGCAGAAUUCAGUGAAUCAUCGAGUCUUUGAACGCACAUUGCGCCCCCUGGUAUUCCGGGGGGCAUGCCUGUCCGAGCGUCAUUGCUGCCCUCAAGCACGGCUUGUGUGUUGGGCCCCCGUCCCCGGUUCUCCCCGGGGACGGGCCCGAAAGGCAGCGGCGGCACCGCGUCCGAUCCUCGAGCGUAUGGGGCUUUGUCACCCGCUCUGUAGGCCCGGCCGGCGCCAGCCGACACCCCAACUUUAUUUUCUAAGGUUGACCUCGGAUCAGGUAGGGAUACCCGCUGAACUUAAGCAUAUCAAUAAGCGGAGGA